CUCUCCGUGCGAAUGACUUUUAUCGGCGGGCUAUUUGUCCCGAUAGCGCGAACGACCGGUCGAUCAUACUCUAAAUUUAGCACACGCGCUUCGAACGAAACGAUAGAAGAAGAGACGUCGAGCGUGUAACCACGCAACGCGCAGGACGGACGUCUCUUUCUCUCUUUCUCUCUUUGUGUCUCUCUCUUUCUUUGUCUCUAUCUGUCUCUCUCUCUCUCUCUCUCUCUCUCUUUGUUCUCUCUCUGAUGUCUCUGUCUUUCUCACUCUUUCUUUCCUUCCUUCCUUACUUUCUCUCUCCUUCACACGUCCGCUCACACACGCUCGCUCACAUAUCUCCAGGAGGAAAAAAUCACAUUUAAUUCACUAACGCACUGAAAUAUACUGAAGAAGAAGAAGAGUAGCAACUUGAAAUCAUCAGAUAGACGGCUCGAGCUUUUCUGAGUGAGCUCGCUCUCACUAGGUCCGUUCGUUCGCUUACUGUCUAAGGCGCUGUCAAUGUCAGCUGAUCGAAUCAACGCCGGCCGAAUACGUUGGAUUCUCAACGAUUCUCUCACUGGACAUAACUAUUUUAUUUCGUUCGAAAGUAUGUGUUUUCGUAAGUGUUAAGACAGUUCGUUGUAAAGAAGGAUUCUUGAGAUUCCAUUGACCACACGCAUUUCCUUUACCCACACACGACAUUCUCGUGAUUAUGUGAGCGAGAAAACACGAAUGGUAUGUUUGUUUUCGUUUGCUUUCUUUGGACAAAAACGUAAGUAGAUAAGUACGUUUGUAUAUACAUGUACUUGUACGAAACGUUUGUCGAUAUUUAAAUAAAUCAUUCAGUGCAAGAUGGA